UACGAAGGUGGCAAGCGUUGUUCGGAUUUACUGGGCGUACAGGGAGCGUAGGCGGUUGGGUAAGCCCUCCGUGAAAUCUCCGGGCCUAACCCGGAAAGGGCGGAGGGGACUGCUCGGCUAGAGGAUGGGAGAGGAGCGCGGAAUUCCCGGUGUAGCGGUGAAAUGCGUAGAGAUCGGGAGGAAGGCCGGUGGCGAAGGCGGCGCUCUGGAACAUUUCUGACGCUGAGGCUCGAAAGCGUGGGGAGCAAACAGGAUUAGAUACCUGGUAGUCCACGCCUUAAACGAUGAAUACUAAGUGUCGGCGGGUUACCGCCGGUGCCGCAGCUAACGCAGUAAGUAUUCCGCCUGGGAAGUACGGCCGCAAGGUUGAA
rnacentral:rRNA from 1 species